CUAAUCUCAAGAUUUCUGUUAUUUUUCUGCCUUGGGACUCCAGAUUGAGAUGCUCUGGCUGGACCUACAUGUGGACAAGCUGCUGAACUGCAGAAAACAUUGCUGCCUUGUUACCAAGAAAGUGGUUGGCUUCAAGUACCAUCUUUCUUGGAAACCUAUUGUCCAACUGUGGGAGGAAGAAAAGAAUUUCUUGGGAGUUGCUCCCCAGGGAGAGACAGAACUAAUCCACCUCCGCUGUUCUUGCGGGGUGUGCUGUUGUGAACAAAACAAGUUCUCUUUUAAAACACAGAAAAAAAACAAGUUGCCAGAAGAAGCCUGACAAAGAACACAUGUAUGUCAACAUUUUUCUUUGCUAGAAGAAAACACACAAGAUCUUUUUCAUUAGUGAAACAGUCAGAAUGCCAAGGUGAAAUAAUUCUGUGGGCAGUUCAGAAGCAGACAACUACAGUUUAUGAAGAUCUUUGUGAAUGUUAGAGACUAGAAUUGAAUAUCCAUGGCAGUCACUUUCAGUUCUGUCUCACAGUUGAGAAUAUUGCUUGAAAAUUAGGUAGAUAUUCCAGUUUCCCUCUCCCUCUUCCCUUUCCCACUUCAUUUUUAGUUAGUGUAUGUUUUGGUUAUCUUAGUGUUUUGUAAAUGCCUCAAAAAACAUGUUUUUUUGAGUACUAAGUGUAUUUCAAGAAAAUCAGCCAAAUUAUCCAGAAUGAAAAGUAAAGCUGAAAUUUAAAAUUCUUCAAAUAGCCUUAAAAAAUCUGCUUACUGAUUUGUUUAUUGAGAAU
rnacentral:lncRNA from 1 species